ensembl:lncRNA
UGGUGAUCAUGUCUUUAAGGUAUGGUGAUCAUGUCUUUAAGGUACGGUGAUCAUGUCUUUAAGGUACGGUGAUCAUGUCUUUAAGGUAUGGUGAUCAUGUCUUUAAGGUACGGUGAUCAUGUCUUUAAGGUACGGUGAUCAUGUCUUUAAGGUAUGGUGAUCAUGUCUUUAAGGUAUGGUGAUCAUGUCUUUAAGGUACGGUGAUCAUGUCUUUAAGGUAUGGUGAUCAUGUCUUUAAGGUAUGGUGAUCAUGUCUUUAAGGUAUGGUGAUCAUGUCUUUAAGGUAUGGUGAUCAUGUCUUUAAGGUAUGGUGAUCAUGUCUUUAUGUCUUUAAGGUACGGUGAUCAUGUCUUUCAAGUGAUCAUGUCUUUAAGGUACGGUGAUCAUGUCUUUAAGGUACGGUGAUCAUGUCUUUAAGGUACGGUGAUCAUGUCUUUAACGGUGAUCACGGUGUCUUUAAGGUAUGGUGAUCAUGUCUUUAAGGUAUGGUGAUCAUGUCUUUAAGGUACGGUGAUCAUGUCUUUAAGGUACGGUGAUCAUGUCUUUAAGGUAUCAUGUCUCAUGUCUUUAAGGUAUCAUGUCUCAUGUCUUUAAG